rnacentral:lncRNA from 1 species
UUUUUUUUGUUUUUUUUUGUUUUUGUUUUUUGGCUAAGGAGCAAGAGACCAUGGUAGUAGAGUCUGAUGAUUGAAAGGAGGGCGUGCCUAGGAAUGAGAAUACCCCUCCCCCAGUGUUUAGAAUAUGGGGAGCUCCUCGGGAUUACGCCGCCUGCCGUCGUCCCCGUCCCCACCAAGGGCAUAGAAGGACUUGACAAAAAAAAAAAAAAAAAGACAUCCACACACCAGCAUUUCCUUGGCAGCAUCCUCUGCCAGAGUCCAUCUCCUUUCCACUUUCUUUCAGAGGUCAGCACUAGAGGGAGUGGAGAGGACCUAAGGACCUAAGGCAACAAAUAGCCCCGAGUUCUGGAUGCUCAGAUUUGAAUCCCUGCACAACCCCUCUUGAGCUGUAUGACAGCCGACAGCCCCACCCUGAGCUUUACCGUCUGUAAUUAGCUGGAUGAGAUAUGAACCAGACAAUGUGUACCCCGCAUAGCCUCUCUCCCCAUGUAGUACUACUGGUUAGACAUUAGUACAAGUAUGCCUUUUUUUUUUUUUGGUAAAGAUUAUUUCAAGGAUGACAAGAGGGUGCUGAAUGUGAGUUGAUACAGAGGAAGGGGGAUAUCUUUCAGCCUUUUGACUCCUAAUCUCUAUCAUCCAUGAAUGUGAAUGUGCCUUCUCCCAGUCCUGGGACCACUUGCCCCUAAGGCCACUCAUUCCAAACAACUAGCUAGACCAGAUUCCAAGGUGAUUCCGAUCACCUACCUGGUGGACUGUGGGGAUUUUCUCAUACCCCACAGAGGUCUUCCUUCCUUUUGAAUGAGAGAUUCUUCUACGUUGGAGGUGUAGAAGGUGAAAUACAAGGACGGAGAUGAGGUGGAGAUAGGUGCAAGGAAGGAGACAAAAAUAAAACUGCAGGAGUGAACAAGGACCUGGCUCUGUGCUGGGUGUUCACACCUGUGGUCUCCUUUAUAAGGACAUUGUACAUUUGGGUGUGAAUGAUGCCUGCCCACAUCUGUGCAUAGUUUCAUGUGUGCAUGCAGAGGUCAGAGGUCAACCUCUGGCGUACUUCCUCAGGAACCAUCUUAAUUUCCACACAAUCCAGUAUCACACAGUGAGCUGUAGGGCUCCCAGAUUAGGCUAGGCUGGCUGACCCUGACCUCUGUGGAGCCCCAAGGCUAUGUUCAUCCCCACCGCUGGGGUUCCAGGCAUUUAAGGCCACAUCUGCAUUGUUAGGUAGGUGCUGUGGAAUCACACUCAAAUCCUCAUGCUUGCAGAGCAAACCACCUUAGCUUCUCCCUUGCCUGGAACCACUGAUCCUCCUGCUCCUACCUCCCAAGUGCUGGGGCAUCUCACCUGGAGUUCGAGGGGACCUUUGGAAGGGGCUGCUUAUUGCCCAUGUUGCACAAGCAAGCACACUGAGGGUCAGGGUUGGGCCACACAGCUCAGUCAGUGGUAGGGAGCACAUGCCACAACCCUUGCAAUUCUGCCUGUUGUCAGCUCCAAAACCCUGGGGUUCGGAGGGCUGAAUACAUCUUAUUUAAAGGGGAGGAAGUUAUUCUAUGCAUAUGGUCUCUUGCAAGAAGAGACCUAGGAAAGAAGAGUGGAAGGAUGAAU